CUCAUUUACUUUGUUUCACCAAAAUUGCAGCAUUUCCUCAAGUGGGCGCCAGAGGAACUUGAGAACCCCAGCCUUUGUGCACGGCUGUGCAACCUGGACUUUGUCGAGACAGGAGUGCAUUACCAUGACAUUUAAGGAGGAGAACAAGCUGCUCUGAAUUGUGUCAAUCUCACUUGUGAUCUAUUUUUGAACAAUGUACUAGAAAGAUAUUCCCGUUCACACAGAACUAGUGAUUUACCCUCUGGUGGAUUCUACCCCUCCAGCUACUUGGCGAUAAAUAAAGCCAGAGUGGAGAGAGAGUGUAAAUAAAAAUUAACUGUAC
rnacentral:lncRNA from 1 species